rnacentral:tRNA from 1 species
GACGAUAUAGUUGAGUGGUAUGGCGUGGGACUGUAAAUCCCCUCCUCCUAGUUCAAUUCCGGGUGUCGUUU